rnacentral:sRNA from 1 species
GGUGGUGUCUGACCACUGCUACCCCUUCUCGGGCCGUGAACGAGACGAGGCUGGCCCUGCGCCCCCCUGUAUGAUGCACAGCCGAGCCAUGGGUCGGGGCAAGCGCCAGGCCACUGCCCACUGCCCCAACAGCUAUGUUAAUAACAAUGACAUCUACCAGGUCACUCCUGUCUACCGCCUCGGCUCCAACGACAAGGAGAUCAUGAAGGAGCUGAUGGAGAAUGGCCCUGUCCAAGCCCUCAUGGAGGUGCAUGAGGACUUCUUCCUAUACAAGGGAGGCAUCUACAGCCACACGCCAGUGAGCCUUGGGAGGCCAGAGAGAUACCGCCGGCAUGGGACCCACUCAGUCAAGAUCACAGGGUGAGGGGCGUGUGGGCAGAGGGGUUUUGGGACAGCAGGGUUUGUGCUAGGGGCUCUGGAGCCUGCCUUGGGUUCUUACAACCUCUCUAAAAAGCCAGGACUGCUCUCAUCAUUUCAAUAGGGAGAAAACUGAGACUCAGAAAGAGAAAGGACUUGCCCUGGGUUGAAUUGAAGGUUGGGAGCCUCUGAAGGCUUUUUUAGGAACCGUUCCUUCCUUACAUUGGGAUAAAAUAACCCCAAUAUGAAGAAAGCCUCAAGAGUUUCUCAACCUCUCCCCACCUCAGCACCUGUCCCAGCUCUGCCUGACCCACCGAGUGACCUGGGAGGUCGCUCCCCUGGCCUCAGUUUCCCUAUCCGAUUUAGGGAAUAUAGAUGUUAGGAUCACUGACUUCAAUGAACUCAAUGAAAUGUGCUUUAUGGUGGGAAUUGGCGGUCUCUAAGAUACCCAUAUUCUCAGAGUGUCUUCCUUCUGACCCUUGGCACCUACCCCUCUCUGGAUCCCCAAGUGAGGGAGGGCAGGUGGAUGUGUGGUCCCAUAGAACUGGCCCCUAGGAGGUGGGUCUCUG